UUUAAAAAGCAGCACUGUAUUAUUUAGCAUAUUUACACAUGUCGAAGCAAUUAAAUCGGGCAACAACUAACAUUUCAGCCCAUGGCUUAUUAGGCGCAUUCAAAUCAAGAAAGAAAACGAAGGAGAGAGAUGAAAUAGAGAUGGGAAGAGGAAGUGCAUAAGAGUGAGAGAAGGAGAUGGAGAGCAAGACGGAAAGGGAGAGCGAGAGGGAGAGGGAGACCAACCCAGGUUGCUGAACAACGACGACGACGACGACACACAUGAGGAGGGCCAGUUAAAUGACGGCACACAUUAAACCGAACUGAACUGAACCCAAGUUGGCCCUGUGGUCGUUGGUCGUUGUUGGUCGUACUUUGAGCUUGGGCACCAACAAGUUGAGCUACAGCAACAAACAGUCUCAAGUGGAAGUGGAGAAAGAAGCCCAAAAACAACAGACGAAAAUGAAGACGAAGACGAAGACAACGACAAGAGACAAGCAACAGAUAAAAAGGGUGGUUGCUUUCUUGCUUGGCAGAGUGCGAGUGUGACGAGGAUGGAGCGUGGGAAGGAGAGGAGGGGGAAGCAAAAGUCGGCAAAUUGCGGCACAGUGCGCAGUGCAUAAAGCGUAAAAAUGAGCCAAAAUAAAUAAAAGCCGCAGCAACAACAACCGCAACGAAAACGCCGACGUCGACGUCCGUUUGAUUGAUUGGCGACAGCGGCGGAAGCAGUAGCAGCAGCAGCGACCGCAACACCAAAGCCAAAAACAACAACAGCAAAAAGCCGCGGCGCCGUGACGUCACAAAAUGGCUUUUGCGUAAGGUC